rnacentral:rRNA from 1 species
UACGGAGGAUCCAAGCGUUAUCCGGAAUCAUUGGGUUUAAAGGGUCCGUAGGCGGUUUAGUAAGUCAGUGGUGAAAGCCCAUCACUCAACGGUGGAACGGCCAUUGAUACUGCUAGACUUGAAUUAUUAGGAAGUAACUAGAAUAUGUAGUGUAGCGGUGAAAUGCUUAGAGAUUACAUGGAAUACCAAUUGCGAAGGCAGGUUACUACUAAUUGAUUGACGCUGAUGGACGAAAGCGUGGGUAGCGAACAGG